rnacentral:rRNA from 1 species
UACGGAGGGAGCUAGCGUUGCUCGGAAUCACUGGGCGUAAAGGGUGCGUAGGCGGGUCUUUAAGUCAGGGGUGAAAUCCUGGAGCUCAACUCCAGAACUGCCUUUGAUACUGAAGAUCUUGAGUUCGGGAGAGGUAAGUGGAACUGCGAGUGUAGAGGUGAAAUUCGUAGAUAUUCGCAAGAACACCAGUGGCGAAGGCGGCUUACUGGUCCGGUUCUGACGCUGAGGCGCGAAAGCGUGGGGAGCAAACAGG